GGAGGGUGCAAGCGUUAUUCGGAAUCACUGGGCGUAAAGAGCGCGUAGGCGGUUUCUAAAGUCAGAUGUGAAAGCCCGGGGCUCAACCCCGGAAGUGCAUUUGAAACUUAGGGACUUGAGUAUGGGAGAGGGAAGUGGAAUUCCUGGUGUAGCGGUGAAAUGCGUAGAUAUCAGGAGGAACACCGGUGGCGAAGGCGACUUCCUGGACCAAUACUGACGCUGAGGCGCGAAGGCGUGGGGAGCAAACAGGAUUAGAUACCCUGGUAGUCCACGCAGUAAACGUUGAACACUAGGUGUAGCGGGUAUUGACCCCCCUGCUGUGCCCGCAGCUAACGCAUUAAGUGUUCCGCCUGGGGAGUACGGCCCGCAAGGCUAA
rnacentral:rRNA from 1 species